rnacentral:rRNA from 1 species
CCUACGGGGGCAGCAGUGAGGAAUAUUGGUCAAUGGGCGGAAGCCUGAACCAGCCAAGUAGCGUGCAGGAUGACGGCCCUACGGGUUGUAAACUGCUUUUAUACGGGAAUAACGCGCCUUACGUGUAGGGCUUUGCAUGUACCGUAUGAAUAAGGACCGGCUAAUUCCGUGCCAGCAGCCGCGGUAAUACGGAAGGUCCGGGCGUUAGCCGGAUUUAUUGGGGUUAAAGGGAGCGUAGGCCGCAUGUCAAGCGUGCUGUGAAAUGUCCGGGCUCAACCCGGGCCUUGCAGCGCGAACUGGCGUGCUUGAGUCCGCGGAAAGCAGGCGGAAUUCGUCGUGUAGCGGUGAAAUGCUUAGAUAUGACGAAGAACCCCGAGUGCGAAGGCAGCUUGCUGCAGCGGAACUGACGCUGAUGCUCGAAAGCGCGGGUAUCGAACAGGAUUAGAUACCCCGGUAGUC